rnacentral:rRNA from 1 species
UACGUAGGGUGCAAGCGUUGUCCGGAAUUAUUGGGCGUAAAGAGCUCGUAGGCGGUCUGUCGCGUCUGCUGUGAAAACUCAGGGCUUAACCCUGAGCUUGCAGUGGGUACGGGCAGACUAGAGUGCAGUAGGGGAGACUGGAAUUCCUGGUGUGACGGUGAAAUGCGCAGAUAUCAGGAGGAACACCGGUGGCGAAGGCGGGUCUCUGGGCUGUAAACUGACGCUGAG